CAAGUCUAGAUAUAAUUGACUCUAGAAAAAAGGAGUUGCUCCCUGUCAUAACAAGCAUUGAUGUAAACCAAGAGGAUCAGAAUUAUAAAUAAAUACAGAUGCAUCAGUUUUGGAACAUUUGAAAUCCAUAGCCAGCAAGAAAUGAAGUAAGCACAUAUUGCCUGUUUUAGCUAUAUAGGUACUUGUUCAGCUUGCACACAUAGUAAAGAAGAUGUGUGUUCGUGUAUCCAGAUAAUUGGACCAUCAAAACACUUUCUUGGAGGUCACCAUGUACGAAACCAUUCUAGACAUCAAGUUGGUGAAGAGCCCUAUUGUUGGAGGUAGCAAUGGAUUAACUAGAAGGCUGCAACAUCUCUUCGUAGAUUAGAAAUGAGUGAAGGUAGAAACACAAACUUUUGUCUUGCUGUAAAAAGCUCAAAGCUGAUUAAACAAUGGAUUAGAAACUGAGUACCCUCAGUGAAAGUCCAAACUGUCUUACAAAUACUUUUAUCACAAUUAAUUUCUUACAGACACAUGAUACAUUACCUACCCCACUUGACAUACACUGAACCCUUUCCUUCUAUUUUAUUUUCUAG